AAAGGGGAGGUUUAUUGCAUGGCUUUUUAUUUUUAUCUGUCCGUUUUAUUUACUACACUGUAUGUUGGUGCAUGUACGUGCCACUGUCUUUUCGUAUGAACUUUAAAAUGUGUGAUCGACGGCUCUUUAUACGUUUAUUCAACAACUUCAACAACAAAAGCAGGACAAUGCUCCAUGCCACAUAGCCAGGUCAAUCAAGGUGUGGAUGGAGGACCACCAGAUCAAGACCCUGUCAUGGCCAGCCCAAUCUCGAGACCUGAACCCCAUUGAAAACCUCUGGAAUGUGAUCAAGAGGAAGAUGGAUGGUCACAAGCCAUCAAACAAAGCCGAGCUGCUUGAAUUUUUGCGCCAGGAGUGGCAUAAAGUCACCCAACAUCAAUGUGAAAGACUGGUGGAGAGCAUGCCAAGACGCAUGAAAGCUGUGCUUGAAAAUCAGGGUUAUUCCACCAAAUAUUGAUUUCUGAACUCUUCCUAAGUUAAAACAUUAGUAUUUUGUUGUUUAAAAAUGAAUAUGAACUUAUUUUCUUUGCAUUAUUCGAGGUCUGACAACACUGCAUCUUUUUUGUUAUUUUGACCAGUUGUCAUUUUCUGCAAAUAAAUGCUCUAAAUGACAAUAUUUUUAUUUGGAAUUUAGGAGAAAUGUUGUCAGUAGUUUAUAGAAUAAAACAAAAAUGUUCAUUUUACCCAAAACACAUACCUAUAAAUAGUAAAACCAGAAAAACUGAUAAUUUUGCAGUGGUCUCUUAAUUUUUUCCAGAGCUGUAUAUUACAGCGAUAUUCACAUUCCCUUAUCUAACGUAAUACUGUCGAAUAUAUCCGAUCUACAUCAAUGUAAAUUAUACGUACAAAAGUCAUUUUAAAUUAUGCAUUUUUGUUAGGCUAUUGGAUCUAAAGCGAUAUUCACAUCAUCUUAUCUAGCAGCAUACUACCGAAUAAAUCCGAUCUACUAAUUGAUAUCAAUUAUACUUACAGCAUUAAUUUUAAAUUAUUUAUUGUUCAUUAAUAUCUGAUUUACUUAUUUCCUGGCUCGAUUUACUUAUUUCCUGCUGAUUUGGAUCAUUCUAGACACCACCUGAUACGUGAGCACAACAAACUCAGCAAUGCAUUGAUCAUUAAUACAUUUUAAAAACAAAACAUCAAAGUCACAGCAUGCAUUAUAUUCGGGCCGGGACAUUUCAAUUUGAUGAGAAUAAGCAGAAUGUGACAUUAACAGAAGUGACAUUAAAUUUGACUAUAUUAUG